rnacentral:rRNA from 1 species
AUUCCAGCUCCAAUAGCGUAUAUUAAAGUUGUUGCGGUUAAAAAGCUCGUAGUUGGAUUUCUGUCGGUGAAUAUCAGUCCGCCCACAGCGGUAGGUACGUGAUAUUUCACCGGCAUCUUCCUGGGGAAUGUGUCUGCUCUUUAUUGAGUGGUACAUAAGCCAGGACUUUUACUUUGAAGAAAUGAGAGUGUUUCAAGCAGGCAUGCGCCGUGAAUACGUUAGCAUGGGAUAAUAGCAUCGGACCUCGUUCCAAAGCUGUUGGUUUCUUGGACCGAGGUAAAGGUGAAUAGGGAUUGUUGGGGGCAUUCGUAUUUGACUGUCAGAGGUGAAAUUCUUGGAUUUGUUGAAGACGGACUACUGCGAAAGCAUCUGCCAAAGAUGUUCUCAUUA